GUGUAUGCAGUUAUUCCCUGACUCAGUCUAGUUAGCUGAUGCUAAGUGAUACAUCACUUGAGUGGACAUGUGAUGUUGGUGUUGCUUGUAAGUGUAGCUGCAUCAGCUGAGUAACCUUUGGUAAGGAAUGGUGACCGUAGCUGAUGGCAAAAACAUUUUCACCUGGUUUUAGCAUUCACUAAGGACACAGAGAUAUAUGUAAUGAAUCACAGCUUUAAACAGAGGUCCUGCCUGUUCCGGUAGCUGGUGUGCAGUUGUAGAUGCUCAGGGGAAACAUAAAGGCAGUAAAAAGUUAUAAGUUGGCUUGCUACUCUGAAUUCAUUUUUAAGCAAAAUCAUCCUUGGAGAACAAUAGUUACAGAUAUAGGCCAGAAGAACCCUGAAAUUCAUCAAGGUGAAGUUUUGAGGUUUGCUGGAGUUAUUACAGCUGAUUUUGCCCCAGGCACAGUUCACUGGGGAGCUGGUACCUGGGGUUCCACUGAUAUCCCUGUCACUGGCAAGUAAUUGCUUCAGUGCAGUGGAACGCAUUCAGUCUGCCAGCUUGCCAUUAAUCUCAAAUAUAUCUUCAACAAAAGAAUCUACUUUAUCUUCAUUUAUGUGUGGGCGCGCAUGUACAUGCCAGCUCUGGCCCAUAAUCAGGUCAUCAAAAUGCCAUAUAUUAAUCUGUUUUCUUGUACGAAUGUUACAUGCUCAUGUAUGAGACUUAAUUUUUUUUACCUUUUUUUUUAAAAGGGCUCCCAAAUCUGUGUUGUUACAAAUAUGCAUGCAUUCUUUUCACUGAAUAAAAUGUGUUAACAAAUAUGACGGCCA
rnacentral:lncRNA from 1 species